rnacentral:lncRNA from 1 species
UUGUCUUUGUGUGAAGUUGCUCAGGUGGCAAUUGUAACAACCCUGAAGAAUAAAUGGUAGAAGUAGUAGUAGCAUUAGUAGUUAGAUGUAGAAGAGGAGUAAAGGUAGCAGUUUUACUAGCUAGAAGAAGAAUAAGUGGCAGCAGCAGGUGGAGAGGAGGAGGUGCGGCAGGUGGGCCGACGAGAAGCGUCUUCGAAGGGCUCAGGCGAGCUUGACGGAACAGUCGGGCGAGAGGUGGUCCGGGCGGAGCUCUGGUGGGGACGACGGAGCUAGGGCAUCCUCAAAGCUCGGAGAGGGCGCUGGGAUGUCCGAUGGAGUCCAUGGAGUUGGGGCGAAGAAGAGGACUGGCGGAUCGAAGCUUCAGGAUCUCGGAGCGGAGGCAAAACGCGAACCCAGUACCCGCAGGGUCGCGGAUGAUGCGGAGAAGAAGGAGUCCGACGCCGAUUGCCCGUUUAUAGGCGGAUCGGGCGGGCCGAACCUCGGAUCGGGUGCAAUUAGCGAACCCAAGGCCCGCCGGGUAGCGGAUGAUGCGGAUAAGGUCGAGCCCGAUAUCCAAUCACCCGAUUACAUGAUGCUCAUGGACUUGUCAAGCCAACGGAGGCCCCAUUACCACAGAAUUAGCAGCCCAUCAGGCCCAUAUCUCAUAUUAGCACUUUUGCUGUUUAGGCCUCAGAUAGUAGUUAAUUUUCCUUUCAGUUCAAGUCACCAAGUAGUAUAAAUAUCAAAGUGUAAUGUGAACAGGGAUCUAUCGAUGAAAUGAAAUAUUGCUUAUCUUCUUCCCCAAUCCUUCUCGAAACCCUUCUUUGCUUCUAAGCUCCCUAAUUCUCCUCUCUCUUCUCUACUUCUAAUCCCUACCCUCAUCUCUCUGUAUCUCUCUCUGUCUCUCCCUCAUUCCCAUCAUCUCCCAAUUCACGCUCCUCAAUCCGAGGUCUCAUCGGAUCGCGAUUGGGAUCAGGUUGGUCACGCCAUCAUCCCGGUUAGCC